GUGCAUUUGUACUUCAUAAGCAUGACGAUUGGGUGUUCAUGCUGUUGCAUGACACGUGCAUUCCUCAAACCUUGCCACGAUGACUGUCACAUUAUCCAUCUGAUG
rnacentral:snoRNA from 1 species